UACAUUUAGUAGAGACUGUUGAAGCCACCUGGUCCCAGCAGACACCAGAGAAUGGCCACAUUCGCUGGUGCUGAAACAAGGUUGUUAAGGGUGAAGCCUGGUGCCAGAUGUGU
rnacentral:rRNA from 1 species